GUGCGCUCGCGCGUGGCGACGGGGCUGACGGUCCCGAAGCGUGAUCAGGUGACAGAUCAGCUGCUCCUCCAUGCCGUAAAACUCGAACUUGCCGGGGAUUCUAAUAAGUCGUGAGUAACUUCAAAUGCAAUAAAAUUUAUCUUGAAAUAUACGUAGAAAUAAAAUUUAUUAGAGUCUGAUAUCCGUGUACACGUGAUUUUCUGUGUCUGCCUCUGCCUCUCUUACUCAGUUCUGAAUACAUGGAAUAAUAACGAAAUAGUAAUAAUGAAUAAUAAAUAAAUUGUCAAAGUACCUAAAGCGUCGUUUGUUCAAUAAAUAAGUGAAUGUUUUUACAUUCUUUCAUUUCACUUUGGACGCCGAAGUGGCACAGUGCUUCACGGUGUACAAUAAAUGUACAUAUAUCAAACAACGAUGUUGUAUAAUUUGGAAUAUUGACAUUUCUUCAAGAAUAUAAUCCCGCCUCAUGAAAUAUCUAAUCUACCGCUCUCUUAAAACCAUAUAUAAUACCGAAAAUGAUUUUAAGCUAUAUUUUUUUACGAUUAUCUCAGUCACACCAGUAUUUUAUCUGAUAAAAGAUCUCUUUGUCCUUUCGUUAUCAAAACGAUACUAUUUGAGGUACAUUCCGACUCGCUAACGCACGUAUGUCCAUUCAUACGCGAUAAAACAGACGAAUCUGCUAAAUUGAUAACUAUCGUUUUCCGAUAAACUAAAUUUCCUCACUUUUCCUCUAGGUAAUACUAAACAAAUCACUAAAAGAAUUAUAUUUAUGAUAAGUACAUUGUGGGACUUUUUUAGAGAUCAGAGAGUAAAAGAUAAAUUUAUCCGAGAAUGCCAUCCUAUACAUGCGAAAGCGGCAAGGCAACUACUGCAGAUAUUGCCGACACAAAAUCACGUUAACCUGAUUUGCGCGGAUUAGGCGAGAGCAGUGGCGGCGAUCACUCAGAUCACGAAACCCGUAGAUUACUGUGAUCGAUUUCGCCACUCGUCGGACGUCAUACAGCCGAGAGCAAGGAAAUCCGCGUAAUACCGAGAAUCGCCGGUACGAGAAAGCUGAAAUUGCGUGUAAUGGUACACCUCACCAACCAAGAAAUCGUCCGAGAUCGUCGAGAUCGGGUAGCAGGAUUGGAGAUAAGUAUCCAUACGAUACGGUCGCUCCAUCAGAUUUUAAAUGCCCCCUUCUGAUCGCAAGAAAUUAAGCGCGCGCUAACGAGCAGCUCACAUCCUGAAAAACACUGUGUAAUGUCCAACGCGCGGUAAAAUCAGCGUCCACAUUCUCUCGUAAGAGAUCUACGAAAAAUCCAUGCCACGCGCGUGAAAGCAAUUUCUCGAUGAAGAAGGAAUUGCAACUCGCUGAAUGUGGAUUUCCAAUAAGAGUGCAGUAACAUUCAUCAUCGUUUAGAAAAUGAUAGGCGAAUGUGCUGAUGUUGCCGGGUGAGGCAGGAGGAGAAACGAACGGAGAAGAUCCCGGGGAAAGGGGUCGAUAUCAAGGUCAAACGUCAGGAUACUUCAUAUCAGCAUCAAUCAAAAUUAAUACAUGGCUUCUCUCACUGAACGAACAGUCUCUUCAUGGUAAGUAUUGCUCGAAUGCGCUUUUAUCUUUACAACUAAAUAUACAUAUAUUUAGUACAUAUCAAUAUGCCUUAAUAAUUUUCAAUAAUUCAAUUUUCAAUUAAAAUCAAUUUUAAUAAUCAUCAAAUAAUAAAUGAUAAAGUACUCGAUAUCUUCAGAGGAUACUAUUUGCAAUGACGUUAUUAUACACGUAGCUAUUCCAUACUGAUGUAAAAUUUCUUUAUCGCUAGUUUCAGUUUCGAUAAUAUAUGUGUUUAAGUGUUGACACUCGUCCAUGCAUCCCUGAGUGUACUCUUUGUACUCAUAACACUUCAAGCAGGUGACGGUCUAACGGUUCAGCGACACGGAAUUUCUCUGGUACUUUAUAUACAUAGCCACACAGAUUUCCCUUCAUCAGCGAAGUUGCAGGCACACUUUUCCGCAAACGUACGACCUCGACAAGGUACCCACUCUAAUUCAUUUGCAAAAUAUUGGGUUGUAACAUAUAUUCGUCCCGAUUUUUUAGUAUUUUUAUUAUAAUAACGAAUAUAUAUUACAACCAAUAUUAUUAAAUAAUUUAAGAAACAAGGCGAAUAUAUGUUAUAACCCAAUAUUUCAGCUUUUUCGCGCGUCCUUCCACCUGUGGAUUCUUAGAUCAAUUCGAAUUUAUCACGAAUAGUAAUUUUUAGAAAGCUUUGCCAAUUACGAAUCAUAAAACAGCAAAUAUAAAAGCUUUUAGCGUAAAUAUGGACAAUGUAUAAAUUUUAAUCUCUUCAGUUAAUUUAAAAAUUAUCAAAGUAAUUAUCAAUUUCUACAACAAUUGCGGUCGAUUAUAAUAAUAUAUCAAAUAAUACAUAUACAUAUAUACAUAUAUCUAUAUAUAUGAAAAUUCCCUAUUUUAUUUGAUGCUCACCGAUGUAAUAUUUACACGAGAAACGUGACCUUCAGUCGAAGUCCGUUGUAAGCAUUAAGGGUGCGUGCCGAGGGUCACGCAUGAAACGGUAUAACCGUUGGCAACGGUCACCUACGUGCCGAAAUAGUGUCGACAACCAUCUGCUUGCCUGGUGGUAAUUGUGUAAACACAAUGAAUGCGAGUAAUGAUUUUCUCUUUUUUUACGGUUUAUGGCGAUCUUUAACUUGUUUCCUGUUUAAUAAGCAUUUUGUGAUCAAUACGGCACAUGUUAGCGCAUUGGCAUGUUUGAGAUAAUAUCUAUAAUACGUUGUCGAUAUAUUUUCGUAUUACAUCUUAAUAAAUUAUAAUUAUGUUAUCUCCGUAUAAAACUAAAUAAAAAUAAUUAAAAUUUACUGAAACUUAAUUAAAAUUAAACUGAUAUUAAAGAAAUAAAAAAAGCAACAUAUUUUUUAAUUAGAAUUAUUAAAAACUGCGUACUUAUUCUGAAACAUGAUCGUAACAUGCGCCUACUACCUAUGCAACCCGUAUGACGUUAUGUACGCGUAGUUGCAAUGAUAACGGCGGCAAAUGUAGGUACCUACCAAGUGUGUAACGUAUAUCUUAAAGUUAAGAGUUAAUUUAGAAUAAAAGUGUUCAUUCGCGUAUAUUUAUGAUAUAUAUAUUCAUGUAAUUUCAGAUAAAUAAGUGAGAAUAAUAAACUUUUUAUAUCUUUAUGUUUUUCAGGAUAUUUCACUGUACUGAAAGUAUAUGUAACGUCCGAUGUUCAAUAAAAAUUAUUUUAUAGGAAGAAAAGUAUUUAGAAAACUCCGAAAUUUUUACAGCACGAUUCCUCUGUCACAUUAUAUACAUAUACAUGAAUGUACAUACAUGAGGAGCCCGUGAAAUUAAAAUAAUUUGACCGCCAUAAACCAGUCCGGAUAUGCACACGCGCGCGUUUAACCGAUGUCAAAACAGGUCUUGUCCGAGCUAAUUACCGGCGAUAAUCAAGGCAAGAAUUCUCCACGAUGUCGACGACAUUCGCACGCGCAUUUUCACUUGCAUGAUGAUGGUGGCUGUGGAGGAGCAAUUAACGUUUCGCGCUCGCGCUUCGCGAGCCGGCAGACAAGUCGGUGCAAUUUUGCAAGGCAAAACUUAGAAAGCAUGCAUCCGCGAAUGCACCACAUCUCCGGAUAAUAUCCGAAAUCCUUUUUAUCAGUAAAUAUUCUCUAAGAUUCACUCUCGACAGGUAACGUAUAAAAGUUUCUAAUGUAUAAUAGAAAGUAAGGAUCAUAGUCUGAAAAAUAACGGGAUUGACACUGCGUCAAUUCAAACGUUGAUCAUGAUAUGUGUCAAAGUCGUUUCUUUUGUUCAAAGUAUGUCUGUUUUUGGCAUCAAUAAAGCGUCGAGCACAAUCAAAUGAAUAGACUUUCCAAGGUCUGCUCAAGGAAACAUUGUCUGUCAUGGCUGUCUGGAUAACUGAAAUGUCAUCGUCAGAGAAUCCCUGUCUGAACUUUGAGUUUUGAAAAUAGAAAGUUAAACGCGGAGAUAGAUAAUUCACCAUUUUUACACGUACAAAUUAUAUGUCGUCCUAUAAUAUUUCAGAUAUAUUAAAUAUAUUAGAUUUUUCAGAUAAAUUAGAAUAUAAAACUUUAAUACUUUGGCAUAUAGUCUCUAAAAAAUAUAGGAACAUUAAAAAACUAUAUAAUUCGCUUGUGUAUGGAAUCAAGUGCACGUAACACUCGAAAUAUAAAUAUAAUAAGGUACAUUGUACAGAAAACGUUCCAAGUUAACGUCUUUGUAAUGAAAUUCUACCUAUCAUUUCAUGUUUUUGUCCAUUUCAAGUUUUCUUAAAAUUGUAUAUAAAAUAUUCGAAACAUAUGAAUGUUAUAAUAACAAAAUUCUUCUGCUAUAACGCGUUUGUGUCUGUUAUUGCUUUUUAGGUCGAUAUCAUUGUCAAACUCGAACGAUUUUUCGACCUUUGUUAUUUUUCCGUCAGUAUCACUGUCAGUGUCGUGUAUAAACACCAUGGCGAACUGGUUCGACUGCUUGGAUGAAUAUAAAAUGGCCUUAUUAUCGCGGCGCAUUGCGUUAUAAUUUAUGCUCGUUUCAACAUUCGCUAUGUAUGAGAGAGCAAAAAAGAUUUACAUUUACUACGCUGACUUUCAUUUUGUUAAUUAGAACGGCGUAAUAUAUAAGAAAUGAUAUAAAUAUUGCAUGAUACCUUUGUACAUUAUGUUAUUUUAACAUAAAAAGCAAUUUAUUUAAUAUCAAUCAAUUCUUGUUUUGUUAAUGCAUCACUUUCAAAAGAAGCUCUUUCAUUUCAAAUGCAUACAUGAAUUUUAUGUAACAUAUUAAAACUUUAAAUAUUAUGCAACACAUUUCAUCACUACUUUUUAAAAAAUUAAUAUUUUUCUUUACUUUUGUUUUCAGUAACGAUACUUGGUACUACUUUCUCCUACUACUAUAGCUCAUGUAACAGCACACAUCAUAUAUCCAAACCAAGUAUUUACUCGUUUGAUGAACGCGAAGAUGUUAAGCGAUGUCGCUGCAAAAGAUGUUUUCGAGUUGCUGCCAUGUAAUUCAUCUUAAUUGGCAUUUCAGACAUGAAUGAAUCACGUUUAUUAUAGUGUCGAACCGUUUUCUAUGAAUCUUCAAUGUUUUUUAAGGAAUCCAAUCUCUAUGGAACCACAGUGGAGCACAUUUAACGCAGCAUAAUGAGGGCAUUCUUGAAAGGACUCGAAAUGCAAUCUUCACGCACACACAGAGCCGGCAAAUAGUCUGAGAACAGUGUCGUUCUCAGCCACCUGGGCCAAAUGGAUUAUAUAGCAACGCGCUACGUAAAAUAGACGUAAUUCAUCAUAAUCAUAAGCAAUUAACUAUUGCGGUAUGAGGACCUUGCGCUUAUAUAAGUAUUCUCCCCGAGACACAAAGAGCCAAUUUCCACGCGAACGUCUUCUACCGUCAAUCAGAUGACCUUUUUUAUGUAAAAGAGAUAAAACGUUAUGUGUUUUCAGAAAAACCAAUCUCCAAGCGAAUGUCUUCAAUCAAAUAACUUUUUUUACGUAAAAGAAAUAAAACGUUGAAAUGUUUUCAGAAAAACGUCUCUCCUCCGGAACAUUAAUCUACUUGGCGCAAGUGUCUUGUCUUGAAACACGGAUAAACCGGAUUAGCAUUCGAUCGAGCAUGGUGAAUUAAUAUCACUUCCCGUCACGGCGGAAGCGCAUCGCGCGUCGCGGAUGGAAUAUCUGAGCGACUGGAAACCAAGGUCCGUGCUUAGCUUGUAAGACAACCGAUCCGAUCGAGUCUGUGCCAAGUCGCUCGUUUCUCCUCACGAGGCGUGGCACCGGCGUGGCUGCGUGCAUCCAUCGCGCCAAAACGCUGCGGCGUGCAGACGAUGCGAAACGCUCCUCUACCCGCGUGGAAUUGGAAUCUCCCGAUGACGAUGACACGACAGUAAUAUCAAUCCCUGCGAGAUUCGCAGGGAUUCUUCUUCUUUUAUUUUACAGAGGGGAGAAGGAUUUUCACUCGUCAGAUUCGUCGGGAAGGCAGAGAACGUUGAUGCUAAUAGAUGGGCUGAAAGCCGUCGUCGUUAUCGCGGAGCGGCAUUCCGCGUAACACCACGCUCGAUCGACGGCAUAAUUUCCAUUCCAAACGAUAAUCGGUGCGACGAUCGACAUAGGCCUCUCCAUAGAAAGCGUUUAGCGUCGCAUUAUGGACGAGCGAAUGCUCCAUUUCAUGGCAACGACAGAUUCGCACUCAUGUUUGUAUGAAUAAUUCAUCCGACGUGUAACGGAUAAACCUGGCACGAGAAUCCAGUGCUUGCACGGAAGGAGCACAAGGCAUGCAUGGGCUUCACUCAGCACGAGUCUCAUCUCCAUCACCUGUUCUGCAUCGCGUUUAUACGCCGUACGAGCACACGUUCAUGCCAAUGUAAAUAGAGGUUCCGUUGAUAUUAAACUAACACGAGGAACCGGUCAGUUGAACCGGAAACACUCGGUUCGUCUACACAUACGGGCACACGAGCGCGCGAGAGUCUGAUUGUAGCCACUAGUGCUGUUAAACUACGUUCAAGCUCAGCUACGUCUGCUGGUCAUGAGAAAGCCAUGAAUUACGCGUGAUUUGUGUGUCUCACACAGACCUCUUGAAAUUUUUUCAAUCUACUUCAACAUUGAACCAGUUCUUGAAUAAACGUACAAAUAAUAUCAUGAGAUACAAGUAAAGAAAUAUAAGAGAAUAAAAAUAUAUGUAAUAUAGAUUUAUAUAAAUAUAUAUCAGACAGAAAUAUUAAAAUACACGCAAGAAUAAUGAAUAUUUUUAUCUCUUUCAAAAAUGUUAUGAACGCGUGUAACAUUUUCUUUCUUUUAUAUACUUCUUCAAACCCGCACUAAUUACAGAUUACUGACCACUUGCUAAACAGUCGCACAAAUAUUGCUAACGCUAUUGCCUCGUUUAUUUUAUUUAUCUCGCGAUUCAAUAAAAAUAAUCGGAAAAAAUAUCUUUCGAUAGCGAUGUAAAGCAAAUACAAGCAAGAUAACGUUUUGAAAAUGCGUUAAAUUAUUUAAGGAAACAGUAUACAAGAAAUCGGAGAUGCACUGUAAUGCUGCGAGCCUGCACAAGCUGGCGCAGCAGAAGCAAGUGCAGUUAUGUUGCACUGACCGCUAGGAUGCUCCAGCCGGACCAGCGGGGCGACUUGUUGCCAUGCAACAUGACGUUUGACGGAAAAUAAAAAAAAAUGCAUCCGACGAGGAUCGCGCGAGGCGGAAGCGCGAGUAAAGAUGCAUAAUCCCGUCGAUACCAAAUCAAGAACGCCACGUGAAAAAAUUUCAACGUUACUCAAAUUUGGCAGGAUAGGAUAAGUAAUAAUUAAUUCACUGCGAUAUAGUCUCAAACAAGAAAAUACAAAAUAGCAAAAUACAACUAAAUAAAUUAGAAAAUAAAAUUUAUCCUUGCAGUGCAAGGCAUCGCUUUCGACGAACGUGGAAUCAUAUUUUGCUGAACAACGAGAAAAUAAAAUACUAGACAGAAUGGGAAGUUUCCAGCUUUUCCCGUGUUUAUUUUUUUCCACGUUUAUUUCGUUUUUUUCAACAAUCAGACAAUAGAAGUUUAAUUGCAAUUUUCGAUCUGCCGGCAUGCCACGUUUUCAUACUAACGAAACACAAUUCGCUUUCGUGACUGGCCAGUUUAUCUGCUUAUUCAUCGACAAUGAAGAUAUCAUCUACGAUGUAGAAAUAACAGCGAAACUUUUGCAAAAGACGUUAAUCUUUCUCAACUGACAACAUUUUUGUAAAUUAAGAUCAUUGAAGUGCGUUUCACUAUAAAUUGCUUUUUCAUAUUUCGAUUUAAUUAAGAAUUUAAUUAAUUAAGAGAAAUUUUUCAUGUUCAAUUUAAGAAAUUUCGACAAAUGUUUAGAUAGAUCAGGCAGAUUUUAGACAAAUAAUGAUCAACAAGUAUUUAUCAAACAAAUCAGGCUGUUUCUUGCGGAAGUUGCGUAGAAAACGCAACGAUUGGAAAAAAACAAUUAAAUACAGUGCGAGGAGAUAUUUAAAAAAUCUACACGCGUAUAAAAGAUGUGUCAUUCAACAGCAAACAAAGCAACCGCGUAUUUUAUUUCACAAUAAAAGGAUUUCUACUGCAUCGUUAUCAUGACAUCGUAAGGAUCAACGGACUAUUGCAUCGGAAUAUAAGCCUUUCUCCAACAUUGAAUAAUUUCAAGGUAAUUGCAUUGCUCGUGUUAAUGAAAUUUACCCCCGCCCAGUGCCACUCGGUCCGGGGAACUGUUAAAAACGCGCGUGCAUAAGGACUGACCUGCAUAGCGAAACGUUCCAUGCAACUGGAAAUAUCGUGUCGACAUUCUUAUUGCAACGCGCACCAUUACGCACCGCACAUUCUCUCGCGUUGUCUCGCGUGCUGUACAAAACGCGACGUUUAUGCUUUGCGCACUGAAGAAUUUCUGUUGACGCAGUAAGAACGCGAAAAGGCAACUCGAUUUCCUGCUAACGCAAUGUUCCCGGGAUAGUUAAAUGUCAAUUAAAAAAAUUAAUUAAAUUAUACUGAGAAAAUUAAUGAUGCUUGUAGUGUCAGAGUAACAUUGAAAGGCAUGAAGCAGCACAAUUUUUCGCGAGAUCUGCAUAUUACAAUACAAUUUUAUAAUAUAAUAUAAAGACUCGCUACGUUGAAGAGAAUUUUUUUUAAAUGCUGUUUUUAAACUAUAAAAAUCCCUUGAUCCAUUGUCGAAACAGUUCGAAGGACAAUCUUUGCAAAAGCAAUCGAGCAUCGAAAAACUGCGUUUCAAUUAUCAAGCAUAAAACUAGUAUCGCCUGUUUGACUGCAUUGCGAUCCGAUACAAUCUACAUCUUCACACCUUGUCCCAACACACUGAAGGCUCGUAAUCGUCCAUCAUUACUUUAACACAUACUUGUCACGAUACUCUGAUGUCGGAGUCACUCAAAGGAAUUACGGCUUCGAAUCGGGCAGACUCACGUGUGCGUACGAACGAGAGCAUGCCGCUCAUGCGGUAUAAUUCCGUUUUAAUUCGGCCUAAUGCUCGAUCCGGACAGGGUAAUCCGUCAGGCGAAAACGAGUCUCGAACUUCUCAUUCACACGCUCUCGCGGACCGCCCGGCAACGCGUUUUCUCCUUCUCGGCGGCCCGACCAUAACUGCUACCAUAACACCGACUAUCUCGCCGCGAGCGAUCGACCGGCGAACAGACUAGGCAAGCGAUACCUCGCCAUACUUGGAGAAAAAAAUCCGCGCACGCAUUAAUAAUAUUGUAUAAUGCCGACUGUGUGUGUACGUUCCGUUCAGCCGGCUCGCUCGGAUGUGCACCAGGUGUGUGGAAAUCGUGAGAAGGCACGUGCCUCACUACGUUGCGCAGCGAACGCUCGCAUAUCACUCGCAAUCGAGAACGAUCCUUCGAGAACAUCCUUGAAACGCUUUUUGCGCCUGUUUUGUAGUAAUCUCUCGUCUAAUUUAAGACGCGAUUAUCCGACCACUUGGACUCGAAGAAUCGUUGAACGUUAACCGCGUUCGCUCGUCGAGCCACUUGACUGAAAAGCGCGUUUGUAAUUAAUUACUGAACAUCACGUCUUCCUAAUCCCUGCGUAUCCUUAUCUUUUCCUAUUGCGACGACGCAGUUACUCCAGUCUUGCGAUGUGGAGGAGAGAUCAAGUUCAAGUUCUCGAAAAGAUGAUUGUGCCUAUGAUGCAUAAUGAUAGUGCGUAACAAUGGACUUACCGUCAACUGCUAUUUUACAAAUUUCCCACGGAGAACUGCGAAGAAACUGCAAACGCACGGGGCGAGCGACGCUUCGAACUUGAACUGCCGUACUGGUCACGCGACACGAUUUCGGGCACUACGAUUGGACGAAUCAACGCGCGUGAAAUCAACGUUUUUCAGGCACUGCGAGUGAAGUAAGCAACAAAUGUAACGUAACAUAGUAUGAAUAUAGACGACUAUGGUGAAUAAAAUAAUAAUAAAAUGAAUAAAAUAAACAAUAAAAUAAUGCGAAAAAAAAAGAAUAAAUUGUUCAUUUUUCAUUGCAACGAGAGAAGGGAUUCAGCAAGCUCGACCAGUUAUUUAUCAAUGGGUGUUGUAUAUAUAUUAUCGCAAAUACAGCAGAUAUAAAAACAUCCUUUGUGGUUCCGCGCGUAAUAAUAUAUAGAUACGUACAAACGUGUUCGCCUUAUAAAGAAGAUCGCGUAUCAAAAUGAUUACAGGUUAUACACUUAUGUAUCUCUUGUCGAGCGGCAAAAAUCAGACGCGUUCGCUUCCUGAAGAGACGCUCGGCGACCAACCGUUUUCUGACUACGUACGCUGAAUUUCGACCGACAUUAGGCAUAUUUUAGGCGCAUCAGGCUCCCAUCAGGCUCGUAAUUUCUCUGCAAAAUUACCAUGUCGUCAAGCAGUUGGUAGCACUUUUAAAUCGACGAAUCGAAGCGUUCGGAACGAAACCGAGAUACCGGGUAUCUCGUGACGCAAGAUCCUCUUUAAAUUCAAAUCUGAGAUGCACGGCAAAUUGCAAUCUCAUGCCAACACUCUCGCACACUGAAACCUUUACAUAACACGACACACUCUCCUUCUUUCACUUGCACUGUCGUUCGCGUUUAAUUGUUAAUUACUUUGACAAUGCUUUCCGACAUUUUUCGUGUGACAUAACCAAACGUGCAGAAACCUCGAUUCGUUGGAUCUCGAUCGAUCGAAAUUCAACGUACAUGUAAAAUUACUGGCCGCGCAUGCCGUAAACAUACUCGGGAUGCAUAUUUCGUUUCUCUCCGCGAGAGAAUUAUAUGGCAUCGACUUAAGCUUAAUUAUUAUUAUUUUAUUAUUGUUAUUGUUGUUAUUAUUAUUAUUAUCAUCAUCAAACUAUUACAUUUUUAUUAUUACUUCAAAAGUAAUCCAUAUGAAGAUUAGAUCUGAAGAUCUGAAGAUUGAUAUUGUCGGCAAAUGCAGCUUUUGAGAUUUCGCGUGAAUAAUAAUAAUAAUAAUAA